GGUUAAGUGACUAAGCGUACACGGUGGAUGCCUUGGCAGUUGGAGGCGAUGAAGGACGUAUUAACUUGCGAUAAGCCUAGUCAAGCUAGUAAAAAGCACUUGAGACUAGGAUUUCCGAAUGGGGAAACCCACCUGCUUGCAGGUAUCGUUAACUGAAUACAUAGGUUAACGAGGCGAACGCGGAGAACUGAAACAUCUAAGUACCCGUAGGAAAAGAAAUCAACCGAGAUUCCGAAAGUAGCGGCGAGCGAAAUCGGAACAGCCCUUAAGCUUAUUAUGUGUUAAUGGAAGGCUGCUGGAAAGCGCCACGAUACAGGGUGAUAGUCCCGUACAUGAAAAGACAUUUUAAGUGAAAUCGAGUAGGUCGGAGCACGUGAAACUUUGACUGAAUAUAGGUGGACCAUCAUCUAAGGCUAAAUACUCCCAACUGACCGAUAGUGAACCAGUACCGUGAGGGAAAGGCGAAAAGAACCCCUGUGAGGGGAGUGAAAUAGAACCUGAAACCGUGUACGUACAAGCAGUAGGAGCCCACUUGUUGGGUGACUGCGUACCUUUUGUAUAAUGGGUCAGCGACUUAUAUUUUGUAGCGAGGUUAACCGAAUAGGGUAGCCGUAGGGAAACCGAGUCUUAACUGGGCGAAUAGUUGCAAGGUAUAGACCCGAAACCCGGUGAUCUAGCCAUGGGCAGGUUGAAGGUUGAGUAACAUCAACUGGAGGACCGAACCCACUAACGUUGAAAAGUUAGGGGAUGACCUGUGGCUAGGAGUGAAAGGCUAAUCAAACCGGGAGAUAGCUGGUUCUCCCCGAAAUCUAUUUAGGUAGAGCCUCGGACGAAUACUUACGGGGGUAGAGCACUGUUAAGGCUAGGGGGUCAUCCCGACUUACCAACCCUUUGCAAACUCCGAAUACCGUAAAGUAAUAUCCGGGAGACACACGGCGGGUGCUAACGUCCGUCGUGAAGAGGGAAACAACCCAGACCGCCAGCUAAGGUCCCAAAGUCAUAGUUAAGUGGGAAACGAUGUGGAAAGGCCCAGACAGCCAGGAGGUUGGCUUAGAAGCAGCCAUCCUUUAAAGAAAGCGUAAUAGCUCACUGGUCGAGUCGGUCUGCGCGGAAGAUGUAACGGGGCUAAACUAUGCACCGAAGCUGCGGAUUCAGAAUUUAUUCUGAGUGGUAGGGGAGCGUUCUGUAAGCCGUUGAAGGUGUACCGGGAGGUAUGCUGGAGGUAUCAGAAGUGCGAAUGCUGACAUGAGUAACGAUAAUGGGAGUGAAAAACUCCCACGCCGGAAGACCAAGGGUUCCUAUCCCAUGUUAAUCAGGGUAGGGUAAGUCGACCCCUAAGGCGAGGCCGAAAGGCGUAGUCGAUGGGAAACAGAUUAAUAUUUCUGUACUCGAUAUAAUUGCGAUGGGGGGACGGAGCAGGCUAAGCAAGCAUAGCGUUGGUAGUCUAUGUGAAAGUGAGUAGGGCGUUUGUUUAGGUAAAUCCGGACAGACACUAAACCUGAGACACGAGACGAGUCACUACGGUGAUGAAGUUGCUGAUGCCAUACUUCCAGGAAAAGCCUCUAAGCUUCAGAUUAUAUGGAAUCGUACCCCAAACCGACACAGGUGGUCNAGACACUAAACCUGAGACACGAGACGAGUCACUACGGUGAUGAAGUUGCUGAUGCCAUACUUCCAGGAAAAGCCUCUAAGCUUCAGAUUAUAUGGAAUCGUACCCCAAACCGACACAGGUGGUCAGGUAGAGAAUACUAAGGCGCUUGAGAGAACUCGGGUGAAGGAACUAGGCAAAAUCGUACCGUAACUUCGGGAGAAGGUACGCUCCUAUCUGUGAUGAGACUUGCUCUCUAAGCGGACGGGAGCCGCAGUGACCAGGUGGCUGGGACUGUUUAUUAAAAACACAGCACUGUGCAAAAUCGCAAGAUGACGUAUACGGUGUGACACCUGCCCGGUGCCGGAAGGUUAAUUGAUGGGGUUAUCCUUAGGGAGAAGCUCUUGAUCGAAGCCCCGGUAAACGGCGGCCGUAACUAUAACGGUCCUAAGGUAGCGAAAUUCCUUGUCGGGUAAGUUCCGACCUGCACGAAUGGUGUAACCAUGGCCACGCUGUCUCCACCCGAGACUCAGUGAAAUUGAAAUCGCAGUGAAGAUGCUGUGUACCCGCGGCUAGACGGAAAGACCCCGUGAACCUUUACUACAGCUUGGCACUGAACAUUGAACCUACAUGUGUAGGAUAGG
rnacentral:rRNA from 1 species